rnacentral:rRNA from 1 species
CGAUCGGUAGCCGGACUGAGAGGUUGAACGGCCACAUUGGGACUGAGACACGGCCCAGACUCCUACGGGAGGCAGCAGUGGGGAAUAUUGCACAAUGGGGGAAACCCUGAUGCAGCGACGCCGCGUGGAGGAAGAAGGUCUUCGGAUUGUAAACUCCUGUUGUUGGGGAAGAUAAUGACGGUACCCAACAAGGAAGUGACGGCUAACUACGUGCCAGCAGCCGCGGUAAAACGUAGGUCACAAGCGUUGUCCGGAAUUACUGGGUGUAAAGGGAGCGCAGGCGGGAAGACAAGUUGGAAGUGAAAUCUAUGGGCUCAACCCAUAAACUGCUUUCAAAACUGUUUUUCUUGAGUAGUGCAGAGGUAGGCGGAAUUCCCGGUGUAGCGGUGGAAUGCGUAGAUAUCGGGAGGAACACCAGUGGCGAAGGCGGCCUACUGGGCACCAACUGACGCUGAGGCUCGAAAGUGUGGGUAGCAAACAGGAUUAGAUACCCUGGUAGUCCACACCGUAAACGAUGAUUACGAGGUGUUGGAGGAUUGACCCCUUCAGUGCCGCAG